UCCUGGCUCAGGAUGAACGCUAGCUACAGGCUUAACACAUGCAAGUCGAGGGGAAACGACAUCGAAAGCUUGCUUUUGAUGGGCGUCGACCGGCGCACGGGUGAGUAACGCGUAUCCAACCUGCCCACCACUUGGGGAUAACCUUGCGAAAGUAAGACUAAUACCCAAUGACGUCUCUAGAAGACAUCUGAAAGAGAUUAAAGAUUUAUCGGUGAUGGAUGGGGAUGCGUCUGAUUAGCUUGUUGGCGGGGUAACGGCCCACCAAGGCGACGAUCAGUAGGGGUUCUGAGAGGAAGGUCCCCCACAUUGGAACUGAGACACGGUCCAAACUCCUACGGGAGGCAGCAGUGAGGAAUAUUGGUCAAUGGGCGAGAGCCUGAACCAGCCAAGUAGCGUGCAGGAUGACGGCCCUAUGGGUUGUAAACUGCUUUUAUAAGGGAAUAAAGUGAGUCUCGUGAGACUUUUUGCAUGUACCUUAUGAAUAAGGACCGGCUAAUUCCGUGCCAGCAGCCGCGGUAAUACGGAAGGUCCGGGCGUUAUCCGGAUUUAUUGGGUUUAAAGGGAGCGUAGGCCGGAGAUUAAGCGUGUUGUGAAAUGUAGAUGCUCAACAUCUGCACUGCAGCGCGAACUGGUUUCCUUGAGUACGCACAAAGUGGGCGGAAUUCGUGGUGUAGCGGUGAAAUGCUUAGAUAUCACGAAGAACUCCGAUUGCGAAGGCAGCUCACUGGAGCGCAACUGACGCUGAAGCUCGAAAGUGCGGGUAUCGAACAGGAUUAGAUACCCUGGUAGUCCGCACGGUAAACGAUGGAUGCCCGCUGUUGGUCUGAAUAGGUCAGCGGCCAAGCGAAAGCAUUAAGCAUCCCACCUGGGGAGUACGCCGGCAA
rnacentral:rRNA from 1 species